UCUCUGUCUGUCUGUCAGACUGCCGACCAGCCCUAUCAGGAGGCCUUUACUGAUGAGCUGGAGUCCUUUAAAGAGAGAGUUCGAGGCAGAGCUAAGAUCAGGAUACAAAAGGUCAUUUUACCUCCAUUUUGUUUUUCUCUUUUGCUUCAGGUGUUUAAAGGUGUUUUUAUGGAAGUGGGAGAAGUUCAGAGCGAUAUUGAAUCCAAAAACAUUCUGACGUUCACACUUUUCUGGGCCUGAUGAACCGAAUACUAAAAUACAUAGAUACAGCUGAAGUCAGAAGUUUACAUACACUUAGGUUGGAGUCAUUAAAACUGGUUUACAUACACUUAGGUUGGAGUCAUUAAAACUAGUUUACACACACUUAGGUUGGAGUCAUUAAAACUAGUUUACAUACACUUAGGUUGGAGUCAUUAAAACUAGUUUACAUACACUUAGGUUGGAGUCAUUAAAACUAGUUUACACACACUUAGGUUGGAGUCAUUAAAACUAGUUUACAUACACUUAGGUUGGAGUCAUUAAAACUAGUUUACACACACUUAGGUUGGAGUCAUUAAAACUAGUUUACAUACACUUAGGUUGGAGUCAUUAAAACUAGUUUACAUACACUUAGGUUGGAGUCAUUAAAACUAGUUUACACACACUUAGGUUGGAGUCAUUAAAACUAGUUUACAUACACUUAGGUUGGAGUCAUUAAAACUAGUUUACAUACACUUAGGUUGGAGUCAUUAAAACUAGUUUACACACACUUAGGUUGGAGUCAUUAAAACUAGUUUACAUACACUUAGGUUGGAGUCAUUAAAACUAGUUUACAUACACUUAGGUUGGAGUCAUUAAAACUAGUUUACAUACACUUAGGUUGGAGUCAUUAAAACUGGUUUACAUACACUUAGGUUGGAGUCAUUAAAACUAGUUUACAUACACUUAGGUUGGAGUCAUUAAAACUAGUUUACAUACACUUAGGUUGGAGUCAUUAAAACUAGUUUACAUACACUUAGGUUGGAGUCAUUAAAACUAGUUUACAUACACUUAGGUUGGAGUCAUUAAAACUAAUUUACACACACUUAGGUUGGAGUCAUUAAAACUAGUUUACAUACACUUAGGUUGGAGUCAUUAAAACUAGUUUACAUACACUUAGGUUGGAGUCAUUAAAACUAAUUUACACACACUUAGGUUGGAGUCAUUAAAACUAGUUUACAUACACUUAGGUUGGAGUCAUUAAAACUCGUUUACAUACACUUAGGUUGGAGUCAUUAAAACUAGUUUACAUACACUUAGGUUGGAGUCAUUAAAACUAAUUUACACACACUUAGGUUGGAGUCAUUAAAACUAGUUUACAUACACUUAGGUUGGAGUCAUUAAAACUAAUUUACACACACUUAGGUUGGAGUCAUUAAAACUAGUUUACAUACACUUAGGUUGGAGUCAUUAAAACUAAUUUACAUACACUUAGGUUGGAGUCAUUAAAACUAAUUUACACACACUUAGGUUGGAGUCAUUAAAACUAGUUUACAUACACUUAGGUUGGAGUCAUUAAAACUAAUUUACACACACUUAGGUUGGAGUCAUUAAAACUAGUUUACAUACACUUAGGUUGGAGUCAUUAAAACUAGUUUACAUACACUUAGGUUGGAGUCAUUAAAACUAAUUUACACACACUUAGGUUGGAGUCAUUAAAACUAAUUUACACACACUUAGGUUGGAGUCAUUAAAACUAGUUUACAUACACUUAGGUUGGAGUCAUUAAAACUAGUUUACAUACACUUAGGUUGGAGUCAUUAAAACUCGUUUACAUACACUUAGGUUGGAGUCAUUAAAACUCGUUUACAUACACUUAGGUUGGAGUCAUUAAAACUAGUUUACAUACACUUAGGUUGGAGUCAUUAAAACUAGUUUACAUACACUUAGGUUGGAGUCAUUAAAACUCGUUUUUCAACCACUCCACAAAUUUCUUGUUAACAAACUAUAGUUUUGGCAAGUCGGUUAGGACAUCUACUUUGUGCAUGACACAAGUCAUUUUUCCAACAAUUGUUUACAGAUUAUUUCACUUGACUCACUGUAUCACAAUUCCAGUGGGUCAGAAGUUUACAUCCACUAAGUUGACUGUGGAUGUAUUUCAAGGCCUACCUUCAAACUCAGUGCCUCUUUGCUUGACAUCAAGGGGAAAUCAGCCAAGACCCCAGAAAAAAGAAUUGUGGACCUCCACAAGUCUGCUUCAUCCUUGGGAGAAAUUUCCAAACGCCUGAAGGUACCACGUUCAUCUGUACAAACAAUAGUACACAAGUAUAAACACCGUGGGACCAUGCAGCCGUCAUACCGCUCAGGAAGGAGACGCGUUCUGUCUCCUAGAGAUGAACGUACUAUGAUGCGAAAAGAGCAACUCAAUCCCAGAACAACAGCAAAUGACCUUGUGAUGAUUCUGGAGGAAACGGGUACAAAAAGUAUCCACAGUAAAACGAGUCCUAUAUCGACAUAACCUGAAAGGCCGCUCAGCAAGGAAGAAGCCACUGCUCCAAAACUCGUACUUUUUGAAGAAAUGUCCUCUGGUCUGAUGAAACUGUUUGGCCAUAAUGACCAUCGUUAUGUUUGAAGGAAAAAGGGAGAGGCUUGCAAGCUGAAGAACACCAUCCCAACCGUGAAGCACGGGGGUGGCAGCAUAAUAUAAUAAUAAUAUAUAAUAAUAUAUGCCAUUUAGCAGACGCUUUUAUCCAAAGCGACUUACAUUCAUGUGUGCAUACAUUCUACGUAUGGGUGGUCCCGGGAAUCGAACCCACUACCCUGGCGUUACAAGCGCCAUGCUCUACCAACUGAGCUACAGAAGGACAUGCACAGCAUCAUGCUGUGGGGGUGCUUUGCUGCAGGAGGGACUGGUGCACUUCACAAAAUAGAUGGCAUCAUGGGGCUGGAAAAUUAUGUGGAUAUAUUGAAGCAACAUCUCAAGACAUCAGUCAGGAAGUUAAAGCUUGGUCGCAAAUGGGUCUUUCAAAUUACAUUUACAUUUAAGUCAUUUAGCAGACGCUCUUAUCCAGAGCGACUUACAAAUUGGAUGGACAAUGACCCCAAGCAUUGUUCCAAAACGGUGACAACAUGGCUUAAGGACAAAGUCAAAGUAGUGGAGUGGCCAUCAAAGCCCUGACCUCAAUCCUACAGAACAUUUGUGGGCAGAACUGAUAAAAGUGUGUGCGAGCAAGGAGGCCUACAAAACCUGACUCAGUUACACCAGCUCUGUCAGGAGGAAUGGGCCAAAAUUCACCCAACUUAUUGUGGGAAGCUUGUGGAAGGCUCCCCGAAACGUUUGACCCA